UACGUAGGGUGCGAGCGUUAAUCGGAAUUACUGGGCCUAAAGCGUGCGCAGGCGGUUUGCUAAGACCGAUGUGAAAUCCCCGGGCUUAACCUGGGAACUGCAUUGGUGACUGGCAGGCUAGAGUGUGGCAGAGGGGGGUAGAAUUCCGCGUGUAGCAGUGAAAUGCGUAGAGAUGCGGAGGAACACCGAUGGCGAAGGCAGCCCCCUGGGCUAGCACUGACGCUCAGGCACGAAAGCGUGGGGAGCAAACAGG
rnacentral:rRNA from 1 species